GUGGAUGUAGUUCAACAGGUAGAGCAUUAGUUUGUGGUACUAAUUAUUCCAGUUCAAGUCUGGACAUUCACC